UACUAUGUCCGUACCACCCCAAAAGCGCCCGAUCUCGUCUGAUCUCAGAAGCUGAGCAAGGUUGAGCCUGGUCACUACUUGGGUGGGAGACAUCCAGGCUGUAUUUUGA
rnacentral:rRNA from 1 species